CUGUUUAAAGCCAACCCACUCAUUUCAGACUUAAGAAAUCAGCUCUUGAAAAUUCUCAGAAAUUUUAAUAUGCUUGUCAGGAAUCUGUGGGCCUCCUUGAAUUUUCCUAUAAAAAUCUAAAUACCCCAGCUAUAAUUUUGAGAUAUCCUCUUCGCUCUACAUAGGCAGCUGGCGAAGAUGACCUUGUCUUGGUUCAGCUUCAGAAGUCAGAAGGCUUAGAAUCUAGGUUCUAGGGGAGAAUCCAUUUUCUUGUACUUUCCAGCUUCUAGAGGGUCUAGAGGACACCCAUUCCUUGACUCAUGGCCCCCUGACUGUAUCUUCAAAGCAGAAGCUAGGUUCAUCUCCUGACAGGCUGAAUCAGAAAGACUCCAGAUUCGGGGACUCCAAGCACAGCCGGACUAUGAGGUAUCAUGCUGAGGCAGGAAGUUUUAAAGGAGCAAAAACACCUGGGCAGAAAUAAGCGCACACAAACGUAGUUAACUUAUCUUUGACGAAGGAGCAAAGACAAUAUAAUGGAGGAAACAUAGUCUUUUCAACAAAUGGUGCUGUCAAUAUAUACUCCCACCAACACUAUAGGGGUAUACAAGAAGGUAAUCAAUAAAAGACUUUCAAAAAUAAAAAUGUAACACGUCAGAACAAAAUUCACUCUGGGAUCCAGUAUGAUGGAACAAUCUUUAUCUAGAUUGUUACCAGAGGGAACAGAAUGCUGCUUUCCCUUUGAGUUGACUCAACGUUUCUGUUCAGAAGUGACCGUCACCUUUUCUCACGUUUCAUUGGCCAAAGCAGAUCACAAAGCUGACGUUAAUGCUCGACUGUUCCCAAGAGGAGAAGUGAAUAUUUUUGAAUAAUAAUAUAAUCUCACACAGAUGUCAGCUUAAAAAUACAUGGAUACAUACAUUUUCAAAGUUAUUUCAGCAGAUAUAUGAGCAAAAACUUUGAAGACUACUGAGUUACAGCAAAUAACACCGUCUUAUU
rnacentral:lncRNA from 1 species